AUUGAACGCUGGCGGCAGGCUUAACACAUGCAAGUCGAACGAUAAAACCUAGCUUGCUAGGUGGAUUAGUGGCGGACGGGUGAGUACAACUUAGGAAUCUACCUUUUAGCGGGGGAUAGCUCGGGGAAACUCGAAUUAAUACCGCAUACACCUUACGAGGGAAAGGGGGCUUUUAGCUCUUACUAAAAGAUGAGCCUAAGCAAGAUUAGCUAGUUGGUGGGGUAAAAGCCUACCAAGGCGACGAUCUUUAGCUGGUCUGAGAGGAUGAUCAGCCACACUGGGACUGAGACACGGCCCAGACUCCUACGGGAGGCAGCAGUGGGGAAUAUUGGACAAUGGGGGCAACCCUGAUCCAGCCAUGCCGCGUGUGUGAAGAAGGCCUUUUGGUUGUAAAGCACUUUAAGCAGUGAGGAAAAGCUAUAUGUUAAUACCAUAUAGCCCUGACGUUAACUGCAGAAUAAGCACCGGCUAACUCUGUGCCAGCAGCCGCGGUAAUACAGAGGGUGCAAGCGUUAAUCGGAAUUACUGGGCGUAAAGAGAACGUAGGUGGUCAAUUAAGUCAGAUGUGAAAUCCCUGAGCUCAACUUAGGAACUGCAUCUGAUACUGAUUGACUAGAGUAGGUGAGAGGAGAGUAGAAUUCCAGGUGUAGCGGUGAAAUGCGUAGAUAUCUGGAGGAAUACCGAUGGCGAAGGCAGCUCUCUGGCAUCAUACUGACACUGAGGUUCGAAAGCGUGGGUAGCAAACGGG
rnacentral:rRNA from 1 species